GGCUGGUGAUGGUAAAUGGUUACGCUUACCACCAGUAGUACCUCUGUUGGCAGAGUGCACGCUCUCUGCAGUCUCAAGAAAAGACAGAGGUGUAUGCAUACAAAGCAAGACCUUCACAAGACUACGGGACCUGUCCUCAUUUGGUGGGCAGAGCUAUUCUAAGAUGAAGUCUGGUGUGAUAUGAAAGAAUAUUUCAUUGAUGCAGUUCGAGUUUUGCCAGAAGCUUUUACCACAUGAGGAGAAAUUUACUUAAUACAAACCAAGAAUUCUUCAACAAGGGCUCACAGAAAAGAUGUAUGUCAACAAAGGUCUUGACAAAGGUACCAAAGUUAUCAUUUUACCAGGAGCAUCAACUCAUUCCCGGCUAACCAAGACCAUGGGAAUGGAAGCAAGAUACACGGAAGAAUAAAACCACCAGCUGGAAAUACAAGAAGAGGCUACAAAGAAAGAAGCCAGAAGCAACUGUAAAUGACGUGGAGAAUUAAUACUGUUCAUGCUUUGAGGAAUCACACAAAAAAAAGAUUACCUAGCCCUUAAAAACUUCGACAGUAUUCAGAAGCAGUACCACUGCAUGUAAAGAGUUAAU